GGUUCCUCACCUGUGACAUACAUACCGCCUUGCAUUGCCCUGAGGGACACAGGCAAGGACAGCUGACACUAAUGCGAAGUUCAUGUAACUUGCUAUUUGAGAAGUAAUAAAGUCUUUUGUUUCUGACCCAGGAGUCUCGUGUCUUCUGCCAAUAUCCAUAAAACCUUGGAACACCAACUGUGAGCUUGCAAGUAAGGAGAUAGAAAGCCCUGAGGAUGACCCAGGUCACUGGUUCCUUUGGAACAAAGGAAGACAUGGCGCCAGGAAGCCUCGGCAGUGAGAAUGGCUUUCAUCAGGCCAAGAGAUGUAACUAACUCCUCAGUUCACGCUACAUUCGGGAUCGAGGUCGGCCCGCAGAUAUGGGCCUGGCCGCUGCUCAUGUAGCUACCAGGAUGGUGCGGCUGCCCGUUCUUCAAGGUGUCUCACUGCUCUCAAACCCACUUUGGGGAAGAAUCACGCAUGGAGGGCUUCCGGAAGAGUGGACAGAUGGUGAUCUGUUGAAGUCGUGAGUUACUGCAUUUGUUUAUUAGGACUGCCUUAAUAACCUGCCACAAACCUGAAGGCUGAAAACAAUAGAAAUGGAUUCCUUCUCCGUUCUGGAGGCCAGAAGUCUAAAAUCAAGGUGGUGGUAGAGCCCCACCCCUCGCUGCUGGUGGUCAAGGCCCUCCUUGGGGACCUCGACUUGCAACUUCAUAUUCCAGGCUCUGCCUCUGUCCUCUCAGGCUAUUUCCAUGCCAUAUCUGGGGUUCAUGUGGCCUUCGCCUCCUUUUGGCAGGUCUUUUAGUUACAGUAGCAAUAAGAGCUGACUAAAACAA